UACAAAUUCGGAGGCAAGUUUGUUUUCAUUGUGAUAUAAAAUGGAAAGGACCGAGCAACUUAUUAUGGAUCAUAUUAUAUACAAAUCUAUUACUAAUAUUGCGUUGGCCACUGCGGUUGGGGCACUCAGCUCGUUAUUUAUAUUUAGAAAAAGGAAGGCUUUGCCCGUGUUCCUCGGAUUUGGCUUUGGUUUAGGCUCUAGUUAUAAUGAAUGUUCACAGCUUAUAAAAAAACAAAGAGAAGAUGCACUUAAACAGCUAUAAUUUUUCAAAACAGGAAGUUGGUCAACCA